rnacentral:rRNA from 1 species
AGAAUCAACGCUGGCGGCGUGCCUAACACAUGCAAGGUCGCACGAGAAAGUGGAGCAAUCCAUGAGUAAAGUGGCGCACGGGUGAGUAACACGUGACUAACCUACCCAUAAGUGGGGGAUAACCUCGGGAAACCGUGGCUAAUACCGCAUAACACCGAGAGGUCAAAGGAGCAAUUCGCUUUUGGAGGGGGUCGCGGCUGAUUAGUUAGUUGGUAGGGUAAUGGCCUACCAAGACGAUGAUCAGUAUCCGGCCUGAGAGGGCGCACGGACACACUGGAACUGAAACACGGUCCAGACUCCUACGGGAGGCAGCAGUGGGGAAUUUGCGCAAUGGGGGAAACCCUGACGCAGCAACGCCGCGUGGAGGAUGAAGUCCCUUGGGACGUAAACUCCUUUCGAUCGGGACGAUAAUGACGGUACCGAGAGAAGAAGCCCGGCUAACUUCGCGCCAGCAGCCGC